AGAUCCAAACGUAGAGAGACAACAAAACCGUGCCAGUAUCCCCGCCUUUCAACCAUGGAGAGUUGAGAACCAGGCACCAGAUGAGCUGAAUAGUGAGGCUAGAAAUUACAAUACAGGCGAAGAGCAGGAACCUCUAGAUGGAGACGCGACGCGAUUUAGGAGAGGCCUUAAAAUGCAGCAGGCCCGUUUUAUUCCCAGACAAAGAAUUAUGGGUCGGAUGAAGAGAGGUAUUAACAGGAUAUACAAAACUGUGAAGUCUCAUUUUAAUCAUCAAGCAGCUGAUCGAAUCAAGCGAGACAACAGAUUCAACAGGAGGUUCAAGCAGUUCAAUUUGAUGAUGGCCCGCAGAUAGUGACCCAGCAUCCCCGACGACACCCUAAACAUCGCAGCAGACUUUAAGACCGGCGACAACGUCCCGUUACAAGGAUGGUUAGGCCUCAACUUACUAUGGUCACGUGAUGACGCAUGUCUCAUUCUAACGAAAUACGACGGUACACUGGAUCAUACAAUAAAAGGCUGCAAAUAUUG